rnacentral:rRNA from 1 species
AUUGCACGCUGGCGGCAGGCCUAACACAUGCAAGUCGAGCGGAGCGGCGGACGGGUGAGUCAUGCCUAGGAAUCUGCCUGGUAGUGGGGGAUAACGUCAGGAAACGGGCGCUAAUACCGCAUACUAUCAGAUGAGCCUCGUUCGGAUUAGCUAGUUGGAGUGGUAAAGGCAUACCAAUGCUACGAGCCGUAACUGGUCUGGGAGGAUGAUCAGUCACACUGUAUCUGAGACACGGUCCAUACUCCUCCGUGAGUCAGCAGUGGGGAAUAUUUGACAAUGGGCGAAAGCCUGAUCCAGCCAUGCCGCGUGUGUGAAGAAGGUCUUCGGAUUGUAAAGUACUUUAAGUUGUGAGGCGUUACCAACAGAAUAAGCAACGGCUAACUUCGUGCCAGCAGCCGCGGUAAUUC